GACGAACGCUGGCGGCGUGCUUAACACAUGCAAGUCGAACGGAAAGGCCCUGCUUUUGUGGGGUGCUCGAGUGGCGAACGGGUGAGUAACACGUGAGUAACCUGCCCUUGACUUUGGGAUAACUUCAGGAAACUGGGGCUAAUACCGGAUAGGAGCUCCUGCUGCAUGGUGGGGGUUGGAAAGUUUCGGCGGUUGGGGAUGGACUCGCGGCUUAUCAGCUUGUUGGUGGGGUAGUGGCUUACCAAGGCUUUGACGGGUAGCCGGCCUGAGAGGGUGACCGGCCACAUUGGGACUGAGAUACGGCCCAGACUCCUACGGGAGGCAGCAGUGGGGAAUAUUGCACAAUGGGCGGAAGCCUGAUGCAGCAACGCCGCGUGCGGGAUGACGGCCUUCGGGUGGUAAACCGCUUUCGCUGUGACGAAGCGUGAGUGACGGUAAUGGGUAAAGAAGCACCGGCUAACUACGUG
rnacentral:rRNA from 1 species